rnacentral:rRNA from 1 species
CUACGGGGGGCAGCAGCUGCGAAUUUUUUACAAUGCACGAAAGUGUGAUAAAGCGAGCCAAAGUGCUAUUUCGAGGAAAUAGCUUUUAUUCAGUGUAAAAACCUGGAUGAAUAAGGACUGGGAAAGACCGGUGCCAGCCGCCGCGGUAAUACCGGCAGUUCAAGUUGCAUCCAACUUUAUUGGGUCUAAAACAUCCGUAGCUUGUUUAUUAAGUCUCUUGUGAAAUCUUAUAUCUCAAGUAUAAGGCUUGCAGGAGAUACUGAUAGACUAGAGACCGGUAGACGUAAGGAGUACGAUCAAGGUAGUGGUUAAAUACGUUAAUCUUGGCUGGACUAACAAUCAGCGAAGGCACCUUACGAGGACGGAUCUGACAGUGAGGGAUGAAAGCCAGGGGCGCAAAACGGAUUAGAUACCCGAGUAGUC